GAUGAACGCUGGCGGCGUGCCUAAUACAUGCAAGUCGAACGAACAGACGAUGAGCUUGCUCCUCUGACGUUAGCGGCGGACGGGUGAGUAACACGUGAAUAACCUCCCUAUUAGACUUGAAUAACGGCGGGAAACCGUAGCUAAUACCGGGUAAUAGCUUUAGCCGCAGGGUUCAAUAGUUAAGGACGGGUUUGCUGUCACUUCUAGAUCUAUCCGCUCCGCGUUAGAUAGUUGGUAAGGUAACGCCUUACCAAGGCAACGAUGCGUGGCGGACAUGAGAGGGUGAUCGGCCACACUGGAACUGAGACAAGGUUCAGACUCCUACGGGAGGCAGAAGUAGGGAAGCUUCAGCAAUGGGCGAAAGCCUGACGGAGCAACGCGGCGUGAGUGAUGACGGUCUUCGGAUCGUAACACUCUGUUAUUAGGGAAGAACAAAUGUGUAAGUCACUAUGCACGUCUUGACGGUAGCUAAUCAGAAAGCCACGGCUAACUACGUG
rnacentral:rRNA from 1 species